rfam:Triticum aestivum genome assembly, contig: Triticum_aestivum_CS42_TGACv1_scaffold_062247_1DL
ACUGUACUACCUCCAUCCGAAAUUACUUGUAGCAGAGAUGGAUGUUUCUAUACGCAUUUUAGUUCUAAAUACAUCAAUUUCUAUCUACUUUAUAACAAGUAAUUUCGGACGGAGGGAGUAUUAA